AUGCUAAUUCCGAAGAAGAGAAAUGGGCUAGAGACAAUAUACUGCUGCUGCUGCUGCACAACAAAAUACAAUACGAAACUAAACUUCAGCCACGUACAAACUAACAGAGUACAACAGAAGGAAGAGCUCCAAAAGGUUUGCAAUCCGAAUCAUCUAUAUCCGACGAAGAACCUUCUCGGCAGCCUCCACGGUUUUCUCAAUGUCUAGGGUUGUGUGUGCCAAGCUUGUAAAACCUGCCUCGAACUGGGAUGGUGCCAAAUACACGCCUUCUUCCAGCAUUCCACGGUGGAACCUCCCAAACUUUGCGGUGUUGCUCUUCUUGGCGUCAUCAAAGUUGUGCACUGGGCCACCUGCGAAGAAGAAUCCGAACAUGCCUCUGAUGUGUCCUCCACACAUCUCGUGCCCUGUUUUAGCACCCGCAUCCAAUAUACCCUGGACAAGUUCACCGGUGACCUUGUCUAAGUAUUCAUAGGUGCCAGGCUCCAUCAGACGCUUGAGAGUGUGGAUUCCGGCAGUCAUAGCUAG
rnacentral:rRNA from 1 species